rnacentral:rRNA from 1 species
CCUACGGGAGGCAGCAGUGGGGAAUAUUGGACAAUGGGCGCAAGCCUGAUCCAGCCAUGCCGCGUGAGUGAUGAAGGCCUUAGGGUUGUAAAGCUCUUUUGCCAGGGAAGAUAAUGACUGUACCUGGAGAAUAAGCCCCGGCUAACUUCGUGCCAGCAGCCGCGGUAAUACGAAGGGGGCUAGCGUUGUUCGGAAUCACUGGGCGUAAAGCGCACGUAGGCGGACUUUUAAGUCAGGGGUGAAAGCCUGAGGCUCAACCUCAGAACUGCCCUUGAUACUGGGAGUCUUGAGUAUGGUAGAGGUUGGUGGAACAGCAAGUGUAGAGGUGAAAUUCGUAGAUAUUUGCUAGAACACCAGUGGCGAAGGCGGCCAACUGGACCAUAACUGACGCUGAGGUGCGAAAGCGUGGGGAGCAAACAGGAUUAGAUACCCUGGUAGUCCACGCCGUAAACGAUGGAUGCUAGCCGUUAGCCAGCUUGCUGGGUAGUGGCGCAGGUAACCCUUUAAGCAUCCGCCGUGGGUAGGUACGGUCGCGAGAUAAACUACAAGAAGUAGACGCGNGAGACGNGCCGACGGACGACGACGAGGGAGUAGG